CUUCUAGGUAUUGGACCGGUCUCGGUCCGGGCCUGGUUAAUGUCAAUCCACUCCAUGAUUUAUAACAUUUCAGUUAUAUAGAUUUGUUUCACUUUGAUUAAGUGUGCACAGACACCUUUGUUUGGGGUAAUUGGGCAAAGUGUUGUCAACAGCACACGUUGUUGUGUGUGAGCUGCUUCCGCUUUCCUCGUGAUGGGCCUGCCUCUCUAUAAACUAAAAUCAAACGUUUUAGGAGAUAGUUAAAAAGGCCCGGUCCAUUGAAUUAGUGUAAAGCGGCGGCACUUUUAGGGGUCUCAUGCUUGUCUAAUUUGGUUAUUAUGUCUUUGACCUUUUAGGGGUUAUGACUGACGAGCUUAGAGCAUGAUUAACCCGAAGUUUUUAGAGUGGGGUUCUUAGCGGAAGUUAAGAAACUGUUUCUUAACUUUUAACUAAAAAAGGUAAGAACUGGUUUUUAAAUAAAGACUUUAAAAAUCAGUUCUUAGUUUUUUUUUAUUUAAAAGUUAAGAAACAAGUUAAAAACACCACUUUAAGAACUCCGGAUUAAUCAUGGUAUUCGAAGUUUUCUGGAGUUGAAUCUUCCUAAGGUCAAGAAACCCAAGUUCAGCUUAGCCUAAACUCGGUUCCCACAUUUUGGAAGCCACCAAAAUCCCCUGCCAGAGCAAGGAGUUCGUUCUUGAGCUUCUCCGUGGUGUGCGUCUGCAUUUUGACAGGUUCAUCAAAGACCUCAAGGUGUCUACUCUUUUUUUUUUUUACUUUGUUUGUAUUUUUUGGCUUUACUUUGUGAGUAACUCAUGAAUGAAUCUGUUUAUUUAUUUAUUGAAUGUAGCCUGGCGAUCUGGAAAAGUCUCAACUUGGGGCAAAGGUCAAGUUCAAUGUUAACCGAGUGGAUAACAUGGUUAUUUAAGCCAUUUUCCUCCUGGACACCCCCUUUAUAAGGAUAUCAAUUCCUUUGCCAUGAGAGCCAGGUUUUUUUCAUUCAACCUUUCCCUUUCAUAUAGUCAACGAGUGGUUCUGACACACAAUUGUUUAUAAUGUUGUUCGUGGCACUUCCCCAAGCUAGUGAAGAUUGUUAAUGACAAUUAUCUUUACGCCCGUGUUUCAAAGAUGAUUGAUGACAAGUAAAAUUUGACUGAAGACCACCAAGGAGGUCGUCGAAGCUGGGAAGGGGCUUCCAUGGGUAAGUGACCAAGCUCUACGGAUUAAUUGAUUUUUGUAAUAUAUUUAUUGUUCUAAGACCUUUUUUUAUUUUCUUCCAUAUGCACCAGGCCAGGAUUUAUCACCGCUUGACUUGAUCAACGUAAAGACCUUUGCUCAGAAAGUUAUGGACAGAAAGAAGCUCUACGAUUACCUUGUUUCUAAGAUGAGCGACAUUGCCCCUAAUCUGACGGCCUUGAUUGGAGAAAUGGUCGGUGCCCGUCUGAUUUCACAUGCUGGAAGUCUCACUAACCUUGCCAAGUGCCCAUCUUCCACCCUCCAGAUUCUUGGAGCUGAGAAGGAGCGCUUUUCAGGGCUCUUAAAACACGAGGAAACACACCCAAGUAUGGGUUGAUUUUCCCUUCGUCCUUCAUUGGGCAAGCAUCUGCUAAGAACAAGGGACGUAUCGCUCCUUAUCUUGCAAACAAGUGCUCUAUAGCGUCCCGUAUUGAUUGUUUCGCUGGUAAGAAUCAGAAACUCGAGUAGGACCUGUUCGACAGAUCUGAGAGUAGGACCUGUUCGAGUUCUGAGUACUAUGCUGUGGCAUCGAGGAAACAAAAAACUCGUCAUCUUUUUGGAAACAAAGCAGAAGACGAUGCCCUGGGGAACGAGUUUCGAACGAGCUGAUGAAAGAUGGGUUGGUGGUGAUUGAUGACCAAAGCUUGGACACGCAACUAAACCUAGCAACAGAUUUCUCAGGCAGCCUUAAGUAUCUCUGUGGUCAGGUCGGUAGGAAGCGAUUGUGUUCUUUUUUCAUAGUCUGUUUUUGUCUUCUCUUGGUGCUCCAUAUUUUACUCAACACCCGUAUAUAUAUCACUAGGGCAAGCCCGCGGGAAUUUGUUCAAUUCUAUUUUUUUAAACAUUUUUGAGUUUAAAGGAUUUUAGUUUAGUUGUGUGUGGAAUGUUAAUUUUGUAAUUUUUUUAAAAAAUUGUAUUGUUCUUUUUCUUUCAACUCGUUUGUUGUAAAAUAUCCAAAGUUAGUUUUCAGUAAGGUUAACUAAAAUUUCUAAUAAAAUUGUUGCGGUUAUUAAUGAAGUGGUGCUCUAUUUUUAUUUUGUGGGUAUAAAUAUUUUAACCUGUCUGUUUCAGUAUAAGUUAUCUAAUUUCAUUAUGUUAGUUUUGUUUAUUAUCAGAUUAUUUAACAUUAUGUCUUUUGUUGGAAUAUGCAAGUAUAUAUAUUUUUAGUUUCAUAUCAGUAAUUUUUUUCUUAAAUCACAUUUAAUUAAAUAAUAACCCUAAAUUUUGUAUUCACAAUACUUAUUAACAUAUACUUAUUUUACUUUUAAAGCCAAUUUAAUGUAAUUCAAAAAUAUUUUUUAGAAAAUAGUUAUUUAACAUUGACCUCAUUAAAUGUCAUUGAUUUAUUAUAUAUUGACAUCUAUAAUUUAGUUUUAUUUAUUUAUAUUCUGAUUAUACUUAAAACUAAUAACUUAUAUAUAUAUAUAUAAUGUUAAACGUAUUAUUAAGCUAUUAAUUUUUCUAUAGCAAUAAUGGUUAAUGAUUAUAUGUCUACUUCAUAGAUCUUGUAACUACUUACAAAAAAGGGUAAUAACUUUUUACCCAAAAAAGGGUAAUAACUAUGUGACGCUUUUGAAGUUCGACAACCACCACUUCAAGAAAAUGAUCAUGUACAAAGGGCAACUAAAUUCGUCUGACAUGUUAUAUAUGAAUUUCUUCUUUAACAUUUGCACCCAAAAAAAAACGAAUUUCUUUUGGCUUUGUUUGUAUGAAUGUGUGAAUUUAGUAUUUACUGUAUAUGUUCGUAAGAAGGUUGUGUGUUUUCUGUCAAGUGUAUUGACAGAUGUAUUUUUCUUUCAGGAUUCCAUUUUUCAACGUGCAUGGAUCAUCAUGACUUUGAUCAAAAUGUUAAAGAUUUUGAUGACCUAUAAAUUAUGUGCCAUCACACAUGUAGAUAUAGUAGUCAUGGGUAUUGUGUUGAAAAUAAUAACCUUGCAAUAAUGUUUGUAUAUCCGAUAGCAACAUAUAUCGUUUGAUGUUUUAGACCCUUGAUUUAAUUGUUAAACAAUUUUAAAAAAUGGAGUAGGAGAAGUGAGAAACAAAUUAGAAAAUUUCUGAAGUAGGUUUACGGUUCUCAAAAUGCAUCGAUUGUAAUUUUUAUAUAUAAAGUUGAUCAUUACACAAACUUAGUUGGUAUAACAUACGAAAUAAAAGAUGGAAAAAAUAUAAUGGUAUGACUAUUGAUAGACUCGUGAUAACAAUUUUUUUCUGAUAAAUUCUCUUUGUGGCGCGAUUUUACUGAGCGUAAUCAAAACCUAUCUUAAACUUCUUCUUUUUGUUUAUUAGUAUAUGAUAAUUUGUUUCAGUGGGACACACUAUCAGCCACCAAGUUUCAUUAUUUUAUCCGUGAGAUAAUGUAUUCAGAAUUCAUAACUGAAACAAUGUUUUAAACUUAACCAUGUACAAAGCAAAACUAAAUUUAUAUUUCUCUAAGAUGAACUGACAUAUGUUUAACGCAGAGG